AACACCCAGUCAGAACAGUGAGAACACCAUCAAAGCACAAUUUUUUCAUCAGUCUUCUUCUCUCCUCGAAAGAUAAGUACCUUCAUCUUCAUCCACAACCAACCUCCGUGUCCGACUUAAAUGCAAAUCAGGCAUCCAAUCGAAGUGCCCAGUGGAUUUCACCAUCUCUCUACUGAAACAUGCAUCCCUGAUCCCCAAUCAUCAACCCCUCAACUCCCGACCCCAAAAUUUCUUCAACCAUCGGAACCCUAACUCGCUCUCUCCAACUUAUUUGCGACCCCCUCGUACUCCACCGCACUCUGACACAAUUCCUGCUUUGUAGGCUUAGCCUCUACAAAGAACCGAAGAAGUAGUUAGUGAGGAGAGGAAGAUGAAUGAGAGGAAGUAGUUAGCAAUCGUCUCCUUCUCACGGAUGAGAGCUUAAUCGCAGUCCCCUUGCCUCAUCGAGUUUCGGUUCCAGAAGACUGAGAUUUGCCUCUCGGAUUUCCCAUACGGCGUGCCGUUUCUGGUUUGAGAUAUCGCUUGGUUCUUCGAUUCGAUCAAUAUGAGUGAUGUGGAUUGGGAGUCAUUGCUGAGGAGGACGAACGAUGUGGAGUUAGGUGCCCAAAAUUGGGAAGUUGUCACUGGUAAACAUCGAAUAUCGGUGAUUUGGGUAUGGUCAAUGCUUCAUAACUCUCUUCCUCCUUGGUUCAGUGUGGCUCCUAUGAUGGAAUGGCCUGAUGUUCAUUACAGGACUUUGGCCCGCCUCAUAUCCAAGCAUGUCUGGCUCUACUCUGAGAUGCUUGCUGCCGAAACCAUUGUUUAUCAGAAGGACAAUCUGAUCGGAAAGAGACAUGCGUCUAAGUGUGUAACAUAGACAAGAUGUCCUCAUGAGUGCUUAGUUUGAAGGAGAAGGCCUGAUUGAUUUUGCAGAUUAUCCUGAUAAUGUUCACUUAAUGCAAAUGCAAUGGCAGGCUACUGUAGGACCAUGUAACACACCAGAGCCGAAUGCUUGGAAUGCAGUAGAGAAAAGCAAAUGGAGUAGGAAGAAGAUUCAGGUUUGUAUUCAAGAGCAUCAAACUCUGUUUCUGAGCCUGUGAUAGAUGUACAACUGAAUAAAUUCAUUCAAGCUAUGUGGACUCAUGGCUGACAAAAUGAGGGACAUGCUGCCCCGUGUGCAAGCAUGAUAUGAGAACAAAAUCUGUGAAUCCUGAGUUAAAGGUAGCUGAGGUUGAAUGCAAGUUGGCAAUAGGUUCUGUUGAACAUGUUGCUUUGUCUUUCCCAGCUCGUUCAUGGCACUCCACUAGGGCAUGCUAAUAUGCUCGUUUCUAUCUAUGCCGCACUUGAGGAGAAAGCAAAAGUGUCAUUUCCUGUGAAAGAUGAAAUUGAAACAGUGAAGCAGGCUUUGGGGAGUUGUGUAGCAUGGCCUAAACACUUGGUCAUAAAAUCACAUGUCAAGAAACCUGCCAUGCCGAGGAUAAUGUUGAGAAGAAGAAGAAAAGGAAAGAGAUAGGGGAGGAGAGGCAGCAGCUAAUACACCGAAGCGGAUACUGAUCAAGUGCGAAAUGAGUGGGGGAAGUUUGUUGUCAACACAUAUGUGCAUGAGCCAUGAAGUAGCACGCUUGUUGCUGGUCCAUUUUUGCUAAGGAAAACAUCUUUUUUUUGUGCUUCUCUGCUGCUGGUACAUUGUCAUGCACCAUGUGUUGCAUGUUUUGGAACAAUGGAUAUAUAUAUGUAUCAGCUUUUUGAUGUUCCAAGUAGAUGGGCAUGCACUAGAAUGCUUUUCUGGUUUAAAAUGUUGGGUUCAAUGA